rnacentral:hammerhead_ribozyme from 1 species
CUGCUGCUGAUGAGACCCAAAUAGGUCAAAACAGCUGUCCAGUGU